AAAUUGAAGAGUUUGAUCAUGGCUCAGAUUGAACGCUGGCGGCAGGCCUAACACAUGCAAGUCGAACGGUAACAGGAAGCAGCUUGCUGCUUYGCUGACGAGUGGCGGACGGGUGAGUAAUGUCUGGGAAACUGCCUGAUGGAGGGGGAUAACUACUGGAAACGGUGGCUAAUACCGCAUAACGUCGCAAGACCAAAGAGGGGGACCUUCGGGCCUCUUGCCAUCAGAUGUGCCCAGAUGGGAUUAGCUWGUUGGUGAGGUAACGGCUCACCAAGGCGACGAUCCCUAGCUGGUCUGAGAGGAUGACCAGCCACACUGGAACUGAGACACGGUCCAGACUCCUACACCGGCUAACUCCGUGCCAGCAGCCGCGGUAAUACGGAGGGUGCAAGCGUUAAUCGGAAUUACUGGGCGUAAAGCGCACGCAGGCGGUCUGUCAAGUCGGAUGUGAAAUCCCCGGGCUCAACCUGGGAACUGCAUUCGAAACUGGCAGGCUUGAGUCUUGUAGAGGGGGGUAGAAUUCCAGGUGUAGCGGUGAAAUGCGUAGAGAUCUGGAGGAAUACCGGUGGCGAAGGCGGCCCCCUGGACAAAGACUGACGCUCAGGUGCGAAAGCGUGGGGAGCAAACAGGAUUAGAUACCCUGGUAGUCCACGCCGUAAACGAUGUCUACUUGGAGGUUGUGCCCUUGAGGCGUGGCUUCCGGAGCUAACGCGUUAAGUAGACCGCCUGGGGAGUACGGCCGCAAGGUUAAAACUCAAAUGAAUUGACGGGGGCCCGCACAAGCGGUGGAGCAUGUGGUUUAAUUCGAUGCAACGCGAAGAACCUUACCUGGUCUUGACAUCCACAGAAGAAUCCAGAGAUGGAUUUGUGCCUUCGGGAACUGUGAGACAGGUGCUGCAUGGCUGUCGUCAGCUCGUGUUGUGAAAUGUUGGGUUAAGUCCCGCAACGAGCGCAACCCUUAUCCUUUGUUGCCAGCGGUCCGGCCGGGAACUCAAAGGAGACUGCCAGUGAUAAACUGGAGGAAGGUGGGGAUGACGUCAAGUCAUCAUGGCCCUUACGACCAGGGCUACACACGUGCUACAAUGGCGCAUACAAAGAGAAGCGACCUCGCGAGAGCAAGCGGACCUCAUAAAGUGCGUCGUAGUCCGGAUUGGAGUCUGCAACUCGACUCCAUGAAGUCGGAAUCGCUAGUAAUCGUGGAUCAGAAUGCCACGGUGAAUACGUUCCCGGGCCUUGUACACACCGCCCGUCACACCAUGGGAGUGGGUUGCAAAAGAAGUAGGUAGCUUAACCUUCGGGAGGGCGCUUACCACUUUGUGAUUCAUGACUGGGGUGAAGUCGUAACAAGGUAACCGUAGGGGAACCUGCGGUUGGAUCACCUCCUUACCUUAAAGAA
rnacentral:rRNA from 1 species